rnacentral:rRNA from 1 species
AAGCGGGGGAUCUUCGGACCUUGCGCGAUUGGAUGAGCCGAUGCCGGAUUAGCUUGUUGGCGGGGUAAUGGCCCACCAAGGCAACGAUCCGUAGCUGGUCUGAGAGGAUGAUCAGCCACACUGGGACUGAGACACGGCCCAGACUCCUACGGGAGGCAGCAGUGGGGAAUAUUGGACAAUGGGGGCAACCCUGAUCCAGCAAUGCCGCGUGUGUGAAGAAGGCCUUCGGGUUGUAAAGCACUUUUAUCGGGAACGAAACAUUGUCGGCUAAUACCCGGCAAGACUGACGGUACCCGAGGAAUAAGCACCGGCUAACUCCGUGCCAGCAGCCGCGGUAAU